rnacentral:rRNA from 1 species
UCCGGUGGCUUUAGCGAAGGGGACACACCUGGUCCCAUUCCGAACCCAGAAGUUAAGCCCUUCAGCGCCGAUGGUACUGCCCGGGAGACUGGGUGGGAGAGUAGGACGCCGCCGGGA